GAUGAACGCUGGCGGCGUGCCUAAUACAUGCAAGUCGAGCGAACAGACGAGGAGCUUGCUCCUCUGACGUUAGCGGCGGACGGGUGAGUAACACGUGGAUAACCUACCUAUAAGACUGGGAUAACUUCGGGAAACCGGAGCUAAUACCGGAUAAUAUAUUGAACCGCAUGGUUCAAUAGUGAAAGACGGUUUUGCUGUCACUUAUAGAUGUAUCCGCGCCGCAUUAGCUAGUUGGUACGGUAACGGCUUACCAAGGCGACGAUGCGUAGCCGACCUGAGAGGGUGAUCCGCCACACUGGAACUGAGACACGGUCCAGACUCCUACGGGAGGCAGCAGUAGGGAAUCUUCCGCAAUGGGCGAAAGCCUGACGGAGCAACGCCGCGUGAGUGAUGAAGGUCUUCGGAUCGUAAAACUCUGUUAUUAGGGAAGAACAAAUGUGUAAGUAACUAUGCACGUCUUGACGGUACCUAAACAGAAAGCCCCGGCUAACUACGUG
rnacentral:rRNA from 1 species